AACGAACGCUGGCGGCACGCCUAACACAUGCAAGUCGAACGAAGCAUAAGAGCUUGCUCUUAUGACUGAGUGGCGCACGGGUGAGUAACACGUGGGAAUCUGCCUAUUGGUGGGGAAUAACUUUUGGAAACGAAAGCUAAUACCGCAUAAGCCCUAAGGGGGAAAGAUUUAUCGCCAAUAGAUGAGCCCGCGCUAGAUUAGCUAGUUGGUGAGGUAAGAGCUCACCAAGGCUACGAUCUAUAGCUGGUCCGAGAGGAUGGUCAGCCACACUGGGACUGAGACACGGCCCAGACUCCUACGGGAGGCAGCAGUGGGGAAUAUUGGACAAUGGGGGAAACCCUGAUCCAGCGAUGCCGCGUGAGUGAAGAAGGCCUUCGGGUUGUAAAGCUCUUUCAGAGGGGAUGAUAAUGACGGUACCCUCAGAAGAAGCACCGGCUAACCUCGUGCCAGCAGCCGCCGUAA
rnacentral:rRNA from 1 species